UGUAUGCUGUUUGUUUGUGCAUAUUUAAUUUGAAUUGGAGCAGAGAAGGUUGUGUUUUGUGCAUUACCCUGCAGAGUUUCUGAGUUUGUUAAUAUUAUCUCAUAUCUGUAAAGUGAAUGAGCUACUUUAACUGAGUUGUGUAAGAGAAAAGAAGUCAGGACGCUCGUGCAGGUGUGACUUUAUUUAAUAUUUACAGGAUUAGAAACUAGAAACUGCCAAGCUUUAGUAGAGACACAAACACAAUGAUAAACUCUUAGAACUACGGUGGCCCAGAAGGGCAAAUCAUCUUUCCCGUAUAUGUGUGCGUUUUUUCCCUUGUAAGUGUGUUUUUUCCCUUAUAAAUGUCGUUUUUUCCCUUAUAAAUGUGUUUUUUUUCCUUGAAAAUGUCCGCCUUUUCCCUUAUAAAUGUCGUUUUUUCCCUUAUAAAUGUGUUUUUUUUUCCUUGAAAAUGUCCGCCUUUUCCCUUAUAAAUGUCUUUUUUUCCCUUAUAAAUGUGGGUUUUUUUUCCAUUGAAAAUGUCCGCUUUUUCCCGUGUAACUGUGCGCCUUUUCCCGUGUAAAUGUCUGCUCUUUUCCGUUUGUGCGCAACUACUUCUUUCCCGUGUGAGAACUCUUUCUCCAGUAUUUUGCAAGCUAAAAGCUAAAGCUAAUGCACAAAGGACUAUGGGAGUGGGGUCAAAACGCAACUGAACACGGAACCUUUCCGGAUAUCAGCUCCAGGACUCAACAUCAUGGAGUAUACAGUGAAUUAUAGCGUGAUAAAGUUAUAAUUUUCACUAAAUUUUCAACUGCACACACUUACCAGUAAACUGUGUGUAUAUCAUCAACUGCCUGUGUAUCAGCUGAUUUCUACACCAGCUUUACAUCCUGAGCAGAAGGAAGUGCUAAAGCUGUGGUGACUAUAGAGCCUGAUAAACACGUGUACAGAGGAGAGAAUGUUACUCUCACAUGUGACAUACAGGGAGAAGGAGACACUAAGUGGACCUACAGCUGGUAUAAGAAUAACAAG